UACGGGGGGGCAAGCGUUGUUCGGAAUUACUGGGCGUAAAGGGCUCGUAGGCGGCCAACUAAGUCAGACGUGAAAUCCCUCGGCUUAACCGGGGAACUGCGUCUGAUACUGGAUGGCUCGAGUUUGGGAGAGGGAUGCGGAAUUCCGAGGUGUAGCGGUGAAAUGCGCAGAUAUCAGGAGGAACACCGGUGGCGAAGGCGGGUCUCUGGGCCGAAACUGACGCUGAGGAGCGAAAGCGUGGGGAGCAAACAGG
rnacentral:rRNA from 1 species